CUGAUGCAUGCCACUGUUCCUGUACUGGGUGGAGAAUGGAGAAGCAAUUGAGUCAGCCAAGUCACAGAGGACAAGUGUGCUGGUCGUAUACUGAAUUUGUCAUUCCCAUUUGUUCUGGUGGCA
rnacentral:lncRNA from 1 species